rnacentral:lncRNA from 1 species
UUAACUACGUUUAAUUUUUUACCAUAAAGCAAAGAUUUUAUCUUAUUUUAAAUAUUAAAAACAUACGUAACGUGAAAAAUAUUGCUAUGUUCUUUGAUCUUCCGGUGCUAUGCUAUGCACCGUCAUAGUCCUGGUAUAUUAUAGUACUGGUAUAUUAUAGUAUUAUUAAGGAAACUCAAAAAAAAUACAUUUAAUAAAUAAAAUUACUAUAAAAAUGUAUAAAAUCAGCAAUGUCUGAGUAAAAAAGCUUUGAGUGAGUUCUUUUUUGUUUUUUAGUUUACUGUAUUAAUUUAAAUCGAAAUUAAAUCCUAGAUGUACCUAGCAAUAUGAACUUUGUUAUAAACUUCCAUUCACGUGUUACUUUACAACGAUAAGCCAAGCCAGCUGGAAGUUAUUUUUUGUUGUUAAACUACAUUCCACAAGUUAUGAACAACGGUCUACGUCACGGGGUUCCCAGUCUAAUGUACCUUAACUAAGUUAGGUGACCCUUCGGGAAACAACUACUGUUUAAUGAUGGCUACGCUAAUUCCAAAAAGAACGUUACUAAACUAGGAGAAGGGAGUCUCUCUUCCUUCGACAAAAGCCUAGUUGUAGUUAGUUUGUAGUUUACAUAUAGCUUAACUAUUUCAAAAACAUUUCCAAGGGGGAUAAGCUUAUUAUGUUGUAGCUAUACUAAACGUAGUCCUCCAAUGCGCAGCCGACAUUAGGCUCUCCUAGAGUAAACAACUACAUUGUAAUUUAAUCAUCCGGCCUAAGGCCGGAUGAUUAAACAAGUAGCUAAACGUAAUCGAGCU